rnacentral:sRNA from 1 species
AAGUGAUGCCGGACACGGGUCAGAGAC